UACAGAGGGGGCAAGCGUUGUUCGGAAUUACUGGGCGUAAAGGGCGCGUAGGCGGCCUGUUAAGUCGGACGUGAAAUCCCUCGGCUCAACCGGGGAACUGCGUCCGAUACUGGCGGGCUUGAAUUCGGGAGAGGGAUGUGGAAUUCCAGGUGUAGCGGUGAAAUGCGCAGAUAUCUGGAGGAACACCGGUGGCGAAGGCGGCAUCCUGGACCGACAUUGACGCUGAGGCGCGAAAGCCAGGGGAGCAAACGGG
rnacentral:rRNA from 1 species